UACGUAGGGGGCUAGCGUUGUCCGGAAUCAUUGGGCGUAAAGCGCGUGUAGGCGGCCCGGUAAGUCCGCUGUGAAAGUCGGGGGCUCAACCCUCGGAUGCCGGUGGAUACUGUCGGGCUCGAGUGCGGAAGAGGCGAGUGGAAUUCCUGGUGUAGCGGUGAAAUGCGCAGAUAUCGGGAGGAACACCAAUGGCGAAGGCAGCUCGCUGGGACGUGACUGACGCUGAGACGCGAAAGCGUGGGGAGCAAACAGG
rnacentral:rRNA from 1 species